rnacentral:rRNA from 1 species
GACGUAGGGCGCAAGCGUUGUCCGGAUUUAUUGGGCGUAAAGAGCUCGUAGGCGGCUUGUUGCGUCGUCCGUGAAAACCUGUGGCUCAACUACAGGCUUGCGGUCGAUACGGGCGGGCUGGAGUUCGGUAGGGGAGACUGGAAUUCCUGGUGUAGCGGUGAAAUGCGCAGAUAUCAGGAGGAACACCGGUGGCGAAGGCGGCAUCCUGGACCGGCAUUGACGCUGAGGCGCGAAAGCCAGGGGAGCAAACGGG